rnacentral:rRNA from 1 species
GACGAACGCUGGCGGCGUGCUUAACACAUGCAAGUCGAACGGAACUCAUUGGAUCAAGACUUCGGUCAAGUGAAUUUGAGUUUAGUGGCGGACGGGUGAGUAACGCGUGAGGAACCUGCCUUUCAGAGGGGGACAACAGUUGGAAACGACUGCUAAUACCGCAUAACGCAUAGGAGUCGCAUGAUACAGUGUGAAAAACUCCGGUGGUGUGAGAUGGACCCGCGUCUGAUUAGCUGGUUGGUGGGGUAACGGCCUACCAAGGCGACGAUCAGUAGCCGGCCUGAGAGGGUGAACGGCCACAUUGGGACUGAGACACGGCCCAAAACUCCUACGGGAGGCAGCAGUGGGGAAUAUUGCACAAUGGGGGAAACCCUGAUGCAGCGACGCCGCGUGAGUGAAGAAGUAUUUCGGUAUGUAAAAGCUCUAUCAGCAGGGAGAAAAUGAGGUACCUGACUAAGAAGACUCCGGCUAAAUACGUG